UGUGGCCCUGAUUGGUGCAUCUGAACAGGGAGCGGUGGAUUUUGGCAAAUUGCACUACAGGCUGUAUAGCAGCAUUAUUUGUUUUAAUUACCU